ACCUGUGACCAAAUCACUGAGAAUGCACCUGAUCUCAUCAGAUCUCGGACACUAAACAGGGUUGAGUCUGGAUAGUGCUUGGAUAGGUGACCACCAUGCAUGCCAGGUUGACAUAGGCC
rnacentral:rRNA from 1 species